UAGAGAUAGAAAGUUACUUCGGUACAUCGGUGACAGGUGGUGCAUGGUUGUCGUCAGCUCGUGUCGUGAGAUGUUGGGUUAAGUCCCGCAACGAGCGCAACCCUUGCCAUCAGUUGCUACGAAAGGGCACUCUGAUGGGACUGCCGGUGACAAACCGGAGGAAGGUGGGGAUGACGUCAAGUCCUCAUGGCCCUUAUAGGUGGGGCUACACACGUCAUACAAUGGCCGGUACAAAGGGCAGCAAACCCGCGAGGGGGAGCCAAUCCAUCAAAGCCGGUCGUAGUCCGGAUCGCAGUCUGCAACUCGACUGCGUGAAGUCGGAAUCGCUAGUAAUCGUGGAUCAGCAUGUCACGGUGAAUACGUUCCCGGGUCUU
rnacentral:rRNA from 1 species